rnacentral:rRNA from 1 species
UACGUAUGGUGCAAGCGUUAUCCGGAUUUACUGGGUGUAAAGGGAGCGCAGGCGGUGCGGCAAGUCUGAUGUGAAAGCCCGGGGCUCAACCUCGGUACUGCAUUGGAAACUGUCGUACUAGAGUGUCGGAGGGGUAAGCGGAAUUCCUAGUGUAGCGGUGAAAUGCGUAGAUAUUAGGAGGAACACCAGUGGCGAAGGCGGCUUACUGGACGAUAACUGACGCUGAGGCUCGAAAGCGUGGGGAGCAAACAGG